CAUCGAACAACGCAAAAAAAGCCAACGUUCCUGCAAAAAGCGUUCCUACGAGGUUACUCUACGGUGAUCCAUGAUGUACGGAAAACCGUCUACUGGAAUGGAGAUCAAUCAAUCUGGCCGAUCUUGGGUGCAGUGUCAGUCUUAUGUGACUGGGAUUGCAAUGAUUGACCACACAG
rnacentral:sRNA from 1 species